rfam:Rattus norvegicus chromosome 5, whole genome shotgun sequence.
GGGGAUUUAGCUCAGUGGUAGAGCACUUGCCUACCAAGCACAAGGCCCUGGGUUCGGUCCCCAGCUCCG